rnacentral:ncRNA from 2 species
GGGUGCGAUCAUACCAGCACUAAUGCA